UAAGGAAUAUUGGUCAAUGGACGCAAGUCUGAACCAGCCAUGCCGCGUGAAGGAUUAAGGCCCUCUGGGUUGUAAACUUCUUUUAUAGGGGAAGAAAUGUGACGGUUCUCCGUCACUUGACGGUACCCUGGGCAUAAGCACCGGCUAACUCCGUGCCAGCAGCCGCGGUAAUACGGAGGGUGCAAGCGUUAUCCGGAUUCACUGGGUUUAAAGGGUGCGUAGGUGGGCAGAUAAGUCAGUGGUGAAAUCUUCCGGCUUAACCGGGAAACUGCCGUUGAUACUAUAGGUCUUGAAUUAUCUGGAGGUAAGCGGAAUAUGUCAUGUAGCGGUGAAAUGCUUAGGUAUGACAUAGAACACCAAUUGCGAAGGCAGCUUACUACAUAUAAAUUGACGCUGAGGCACGAAAGCGUGGGGAUCAAACA
rnacentral:rRNA from 1 species